UACGUAGGGGGCAAGCGUUGUCCGGAAUCAUUGGGCGUAAAGCGCGUGUAGGCGGCUCGAUAAGUCUGCUGUGAAAGUCCAGGGCUCAACCCUGGGAUGCCGGUGGAUACUGUCGGACUAGAGUACGGAAGAGGAGAUUGGAAUUCCUGGUGUAGCGGUGAAAUGCGCAGAUAUCAGGAGGAACACCGGUGGCGAAGGCGGGUCUCUGGGCAACAACUGACGCUGAGGAGCGAAAGCGUGGGGAGCGAACAGG
rnacentral:rRNA from 1 species